UCCAGUAACCGCCGGCAAACCUACGCUGCUGAUAAGUUGCUGACAUGCUUAGUUAAUUAUAUUAUCACGGUACCUACUUGUAAAUAAAAACAUUGCAGAAGAUUUCUAGACCAGUCAAGAAUUCGAAGGAUUACACAAAACUAAAAAGGAUUCCGAAAAAUGGAAACGUAGGAAAAACAGGGUUAUAGAUAACGUUUAGAGAAAAUAAUAUUUUCGAGAGGAAGAUUUUCUUGGCAAUUUAUACAAAUAUAUCGAAUAAUUCUCAAAAAGUUGCAAAUUUAUCGGUCACUUUUCUCUCUAUUAUAAUAUCAAGAUCAUCUAAUCUAAUGCAGCGAAUCAAAAAUCUAAACCUAUGUAACGAUGUUGUAGUCCAAAAACGUCGACGUUUUCGCCAUCUCUUUCCCAAAAUUUUUUUAUGUUUAGACAUCCACUAUACAGGUUUACACAGGCCAUAUAAAGUAAACCAAUAAAACCUUUUCA